rnacentral:rRNA from 1 species
GUUGAACGCUGGCGGCAGGCCUAACACAUGCAAGUCGAGCGGAUGACGGGAGCUUGCUCCUUGAUUCAGCGGCGGACGGGUGAGUAAUGCCUAGGAAUCUGCCUGGUAGUGGGGGACAACGUUUCGAAAGGAACGCUAAUACCGCAUACGUCCUACGGGAGAAAGCAGGGGACCUUCGGGCCUUGCGCUAUCAGAUGAGCCUAGGUCGGAUUAGCUAGUAGGUGAGGUAAUGGCUCACCUAGGCGACGAUCCGUAACUGGUCUGAGAGGAUGAUCAGUCACACUGGAACUGAGACACGGUCCAGACUCCUACGGGAGGCAGCAGUGGGGAAUAUUGGACAAUGGCGAAAGCCUGAUCCAGCCAUGCCGCGUGUGUGAAGAAGGUCUUCGGAUUGUAAAGCACUUUAAGUUGGGAGGAAGGGCAGUAAGCUAAUACCUUGCUGUUUUGACGUUACCGACAGAAUAAGCACCGGCUAACUCUGUGCCAGCCGCCGCCGUAAUAC